rnacentral:rRNA from 1 species
CCUACGGGAGGCAGCAGUGGGGAAUAUUGCACAAUGGGGGAAACCCUGAUGCUGCGACGCCGCGUGAGCGAAGAAGUAUUUCGGUAUGUAAAGCUCUAUCAGCAGGGAAGAAAAUGACGGUACCUGAGUAAGAAGCUCCGGCUAAAUACGUGCCAGCAGCCGCGGCAAUACGUAUGGAGCAAGCGUUAUCCGGAUUUACUGGGUGUAAAGGGAGCGCAGGCGGCCUGCCAAGUCUGGUGUGAAAAGCCGGGGCCCAACCCCGGGCCUGCAUUGGAAACUGGCGGGCUGGAGUGUCGGAGGGGCAGGCGGAAUUCGUAGUGUAGCAGUGAAAUGCGUAGAUAUUAGGAGGAACACCGGUGGCGAAGGCGGCCUGCUGGACGAUGACUGACGCUGAGGCACGAAAGCGUGGGGAGCGAAAAGGAUUAGAUACCCGGGUAGUC